rnacentral:misc_RNA from 1 species
UCCAAUCUCGGCUCGGGCUCCUCUAGCAUGUAUAUAAGAUGUUGGCUGUGCAAAAGUGCGUGAAUAAUCUCUUUCAUAUGUAUCCACCACCACAUACUCGGGUAUAGGUAUUUCAGGAAUAAACUUCUUGCUAGAAGUCUGUUGUACCUCAAUAUCUGCCGCUUCGGCAGCUAGACGAAUGAUUUGAUUGCGGGUAUUGGACUGUGAAUCAUCAUCUUCAAAAUCCUUUACAGAUUUUACAAUAGGUAACUUCUUGUGAAUGUCAAGUGGGCGUGGCCUAAAUGAGAGUCUACUCAUUAUCACGUCAACUCAUUAUCCAGACAAAUAAUGAAAACUUGUUUCUUUUUUCUCUUUUUGCCAGCUUCCGCUGUUACCAAGGCGGACUUGCUGAAAACCUAUCGGUCGAAAUUUAGCGCGGGAGAAGAGGUGUUACGUUCAGGGAUGGUGAUCGCCGACGUAGAUAUUUUGAACGGCUAAUCGCCGGAGAAGAAAGGAGAUCGAUAGCGUCCGGCCGGUUAGGGAUUUUAUAUGGGGCUUUUGAUUGGAAUGAGAUGUCGGUUAACCCAAC